AACGUAGGACGCAAGCGUUAUCCGGAGUUACUGGGCGUAAAGCGCGGGCAGGCGGUCGCUUAAGUCUGAUGUGAAAUCUCCCGGCUCAACCGGGAGCAGCCAUUGGAAACUAGGCGACUGGAGUCUGACAGAGGUAGGCGGAAUUCCGGGUGGAGUGGUGAAAUGCGUAGAGAUCCGGAGGAACACCAGAGGCGAAGGCGGCCUACUGGGUCAGUACUGACGCUGAGCCGCGAAAGCCAGGGGAGCGAACGGG
rnacentral:rRNA from 1 species